UACAGAGGUCUCAAGCGUUGUUCGGAUUCAUUGGGCGUAAAGGGUGCGUAGGCGGCGCGGUAAGUCGGGUGUGAAAUCUCGGGGCUUAACUCCGAAACUGCAUUCGAUACUGCCGUGCUUGAGGACUGGAGAGGAGACUGGAAUUUACGGUGUAGCAGUGAAAUGCGUGGAGAUCGUAAGGAAGACCAGUGGCGAAGGCGGGUCUCUGGACAGUUCCUGACACUGAGGCACGAAGGCCAGGGGAGCAAACGGG
rnacentral:rRNA from 1 species